CGCACAAGCACAAGGCAGGGGGAUAGAGCAAACCUACCCAUCCAUCCGGCAAGGGGCCAGGGCCAUCGAGCGGAGGCGACGGCCAAGCAGCGGCGGCGCACUGCGGCGAGCGGCGAGCGGCCGAGCGCCGAGCGGUAAGCGGCGUGCUCCCAGCCGGCUAGGCGCGGCGGCACGGCGAGCGGCAGGCGCCCCGCGGCCAACCGGCCAGGCGCGGCGAGCGAAACAGGCGCAAAGCAGUCGUGCUGGCGUGCUGCGGCCGGUAGCUGCAGGGGGCCAGCCGGCCAGGCUGCCGAGGCGAGCAGUCGAGCACCCAGGCUGCGAGGCUCCAAGCAGUGCGUUAGCAUAGCAAGAAAUUAGAUUGCUUCUUCGGAUGAAUAAUGGGUGUCACCGACACACGUGGCGCCUAUUAGUUUCAUAAUUUGGCUUUUCAAUACGAAUAAACUACAUCCUUUAUUUUUCAUGAUGUAUUCUGCGAUUUUCAUCGUUUAUCGAUGUUUUAAUAUAAAACUACUUCAAACUAUCAUAUUUGUUUUUU